rnacentral:rRNA from 1 species
GUGGGGAAUAUUGGACAAUGGGCGCAAGCCUGAUCCAGCCAUACCGCGUGGGUGAAGAAGGCCUUCGGGUUGUAAAGCCCUUUUGUCGGGAAAGAAAUCCUGUCGGUUAAUACCUGGCGGGGAUGACGGUACCCAAAGAAUAAGCACCGGCUAACUUCGUGCCAGCAGCCGCGGUAAUACGAAGGGUGCAAGCGUUACUCGGAAUUACUGGGCGUAAAGCGUGCGUAGGUGGUGGUUUAAGUCCGUUGUGAAAGCCCUGGGCUCAACCUGGGAAUUGCAGUGGAUACUGGAUCACUAGAGUGUGGUAGAGGGAUGCGGAAUUUCUGGUGUAGCAGUGAAAUGCGUAGAGAUCAGAAGGAACAUCCGUGGCGAAGGCGGCAUCCUGGGCCAACACUGACACUGAGGCACGAAAGCGUGGGGAGCAAACAGGAUUAGAUACCCCGGUAGUCC